GAAAACGACUGCUAAGACUGGAUAGGAAGAUAAAAGGCAUCUUUUAUCUUUUAAAAGACCUAGUAAUAGGUAUGCUUUAGGAGGGGCUUGCGCCAUAUUAGUUAGUUGGUAGGGUAAUGGCCUACCAAGACGAUGAUGUGUAGCUGGACUGAGAGGUUGAACAGCCACAUUGGGACUGAGACACGGCCCAAACUCCUACGGGAGGCAGCAGUAGGGAAUUUUCGGCAAUGGGGGAAACUCUGACCGAGCAACGCCGCGUGAAUGACGAAGUACUUCGGUAUGUAAAGUUCUUUUAUCAAGGAAGAAAAGCAAAUGGCGAACCAUUUGUUUGCCGGUACUUGAUGAAUAAGCCCCGGCUAAUUAUGUGCCAGCAGCCGCGGUAAGACAUAAGGGGCAAGUGUUAUCCGGAAUUAUUGGGCGUAAAGGGUGCGUAGGCGGUCUAGUAAGUCAGUGGUGUAAUGGUAACGCUUAACGUUGUCCGGCUAUUGAAACUGCUAAACUUGAGUUAGAUAGAGGCGAGUGGAAUUCCAUGUGUAGCGGUAAAAUGCGUAAAUAUAUGGAGGAACACCAGAGGCGUAGGCGGCUCGCUGGGUCUUAACUGACGCUGAGGCACGAAAGCGUGGGGAGCAAACAGGAUUAGAUACCCUGGUAGUCCACGCCGUAAACGAUGAGUACUAAGUGUCGGGUUAAACCGGUACUGAAGUUAACACAUUAAGUACUCCGCCUGAGUAGUACGUACGCAAGUAUGAAACUUAAAGGAAUUGACGGGACUCCGCACAAGCGGUGGAUCAUGCUGUUUAAUUCGAAGAUACCCGAAAAACCUUACCAGGUCUUGACAUGUUUUUGCAAAAUGAUAGUAAUAUCGUGGAGGUUACCAGAAACACAGGUGGUGCAUGGUUGUCGUCAGCUCGUGUCGUGAGAUGUUAGGUUAAGUCCUAAAACGAGCGAAACCCUUAUCGUUAGUUGCCAGCACGUUAUGGUGGGGACUUUAACGAGACUGCCAAUGAUAAAUUGGAGGAAGGUGAGGAUCACGUCAAAUCAGCAUGCCCCUUAUGACCUGGGCUACAAACGUGAUACAAUGGCUGUUACAAAGGGUAGCUGAAACGCAAGUUCUUGGCCAAUCCCCAAAAACAGUCCCAGUCCGGAUUGAAGUCUGCAACUCGACUUCAUGAAGUUGGAAUCGCUAGUAAUCGCGAAUCAGCAUGUCGCGGUGAAUACGUUCUCGGGGUUUGUACACACCGCCCGUCAA
rnacentral:rRNA from 1 species